GACGAACGCUGGCGGCGUGCCUAAUACAUGCAAGUCGAACGCAGUGGGGACGGGUGCGUAACACGUGGGUAACCUCCCAUCAGAGGGGAUAACACUUGGAAACAGGUGCUAAACCGCUACUGAUGGAUGUACCCGCGGUGGAGUAGCUAGUUGUGGGGGUAACGGCUCACCAAGGCCACGAUGCAUAGCUGGCCGGAGAGGGUGAUCGGCCACACUGGAACGGAGAAACGGCCCAGACUCCUACGGGAGGCAGCAGUAGGGAAUCUUCGGCAAUGGGCGAAAGUCUGACCGAGCAACGCCGCGUGAGUGAAGAAGGUUUUCGGAUCGUAAAGCUCUGUUAGUAGGGAGGCGGUAUCUAACCAGAAAGCAACGGCUAACUACGUGCCAGCCGCCGCGGUAAUAC
rnacentral:rRNA from 1 species